rnacentral:rRNA from 1 species
CCUACGGGAGGCAGCAGUGAGGAAUAUUGGUCAAUGGACGCAAGCCUGAACCAGCCAAGUAGCGUGAAGGAUGACUGCCCUACGGGUUGUAAACUUCUUUUGUACAAGGGUAAAGUGCGGCACGUGUGCCUUGUUGUAUGUAUUUUAUGAAUAAGGAUCGGCUAACUCCGUGCCAGCAGCCGCGGUAAUACGGAGGAUCCGAGCGUUAUCCGGAUUUAUUGGGUUUAAAGGGAGCGUAGAUGGGUUGUUAAGUCAGUGGUGAAAGUUUGCGGCUCAACCGUAAAAUUGCAAUUGAUACUGGUAGCCUUGAGAACAGUUGAGGUAGGCGGAAUGUGUGGUGUAGCGGUGAAAUGCUUAGAGAUCACGAAGAACACCGAUUGCGAAGGCAGCUUACUAAACUGUCACUGACAUUGAUGCUCGAAAGUGUGGGUAGCAAACAGGAUUAGAUACCCGUGUAGUC